AUGGCAAGUCCUCCUCAAAAUUCCGACGAAACAUUUCCAUCUGCCGAUCUUGCUGGAGAAUUGAAUCCUGGGAAAAAUAGGGAGGUUCAAGUUGAUCCUAUAUCUUCUGAGGUUGCUGCCACCAAGGAAAUGGAGGAGGAAGAUGCAGCCAAAGAGAAGAAAAAGGAAAUAGAAAAGAAGGAAUGUUUGGAUAAAUUAAAAUCGGCCAUUAUAAUUUCAGGCAUAGUUGUGGCUGUGGUGGGAGCAGCAUUUGCAAUAACUAAGAAAUUAAAAGAGAAGUGA